AAGUCGGGCCUGCCCACUGAGUAAUAGAAGGGCCGCGGUAUUUUCACCGUGCAAAGGUAGAAAAACGAGUAGUCUUUUAAUUGAGGGCUGGAAUGAAUGGUUUGACGAAAUAUUAACUGUCUUUAUGUUAUAUAUAGAAUUUAUUUUUAAAGUUAAAAAACUAAAAUACUUAUGUGGGACGAGAAGACCCUAUAGAGCUUUAUAUAAUUAUAAAAUAAAAAUAUUUUUGGGGGGAUUUAAAGGAAUUAUUAAUAUAAUAUGUGGGGGGAACUUCAAAAAAAAAAAACUUUCCCUAUUAUAUAACCAAGAAUUUAUCAAUUCAUCAUCCAAUAUUAUUGAAUAUAAAAAAAAAUUACCCUACGGGAAACAACGUUUUUUCUUGGAAGUUCCUUUCCAAAAAAAAAAUUUGCACCCCCAUGUUGUAUUUAAAAAAAGAUUAAAUGGCCCAAUUAUAUUAUUAUGUCUGUUCGACUUUAUAAUUCUUAC
rnacentral:rRNA from 1 species